rnacentral:tRNA from 1 species
GGUAUAUAGCUCAGUUGGUAGAGUGCUUGCCUCACAUGCACAAUGCACAAGGCCCUGGGUUCAAUCCCCAGCACCA